GUUCUGACAACUAUGAGCCUAACCAUAAUUCAGCCCUAAUACCCCUUCUUCCUUCUCCUUCUCCUUCUGUAACCAAAUCACAAAGAAGCUUCCAACCAUGAUUCCACCCCUUGGUCAUCGCUUCCCAUUAAAGCUCAUGCCUAGGUGUUGAAGAAGCAAGAAACCAACGAAGCUCUCUUCAUAACCUCAUCUCCAAUUCAUCUAUAUAAACCCUCUUCACUUCAAAAGAAAGGAAAAUGGAAUGAAGGCAGCUUCUUCUUCUAUGAACGCUUGAUUCAUUUGGGUCAUUAGAGACACGCAAAAAUAGAAGGAAGGAACAAGAGAGUGAGAGCGACAGAGAAUCAAGGAAGGUGUUGACCAAAGCUAGGAGGAAGCUCCACCAUCUUCAUCAACCUGUUCUUCAAUUUUUCCUUGUCUGCAUAAGAUUCCUUCAAGGAACAGCCGUGUAUUAAGGCUUGAAAAGGAGGAACAUCUUUCUUUUUAGGGCUGUAAUCAUCAUUCGUACAAGUGGUGAUGCUUGGUGACAAAAUCUGAUUUGUGGUGGUGAUAGGAUCUCUUGCUAUUAGGAAAUCUCAUAAACUGAAUUUUAGUAGUCUAAGACAAUCAAGAGGCAAGGGAUUAGGUGAUUAGAUUAGAUAUAUGUGUACCUCUUAAUUGUGAUUUUGUUGUUGAUGAUGAUUCUGUAUGUUGUAUUGUAAAUGCUACUGAAAUUUUGUAGAGGAA